GACGAACGCUGGCGGCGUGCUUAACACAUGCAAGUCGAACGCUGAAGCUUGGUGCUUGUACUGGGUGGAUGAGUGGCGAACGGGUGAGUAAUAAGUGAGUAACCUGCCCUUGACUCUGGGAUAAGCCUGGGAAACUGGGUCUAAUACUGGAUACGACAUGUCACCGCAUGGUGGUGUGUGGAAAGGGUUUUACUGGUUUUGGAUGGGCUCACGGCCUAUCAGCUUGUUGGUGGGGUAAUGGCUCACCAAGGCGACGACGGGUAGCCGGCCUGAGAGGGUGACCGGCCACACUGGGACUGAGACACGGCCCAGACUCCUACGGGAGGCAGCAGUGGGGAAUAUUGCACAAUGGGCGGAAGCCUGAUGCAGCGACGCCGCGUGAGGGAUGACGGCCUUCGGGUUGUAAACCUCUUUCAGCACGGAAGAAGCGAAAGUGACGGUACGUGCAGAAGAAGCGCCGGCUAACUACGUG
rnacentral:rRNA from 1 species